UCUGCAGGCGACCCAGAGCGGGACACCGGCCAUACAGUUUGAGCUUUCCGCGCUGAAAUUGAGACCGGGGCUUGGUGGAGACUUAUCGGGAACCGUCACCAGAUCUGUUGGUUUCUUUCUCCCCCGCUUUUCUCCGGUGUGCGUGGCUUAUUCGAGCAUCGAGAUUGAAGCGGAACAGAAGAUACUCUCUCCCACAAUGAGGGGGAGAAGAGGAAGGCCGCCCAAACAAGCAGCCGUGAUGCGGGAAGGUUCACCCGGGCCAGUCCGCGGCUCUCGGGGCAGUAGGAGUAGAGGGAUGCGUGGACGGGGACGAGGCAGAGGACGCGGUCGAGGACGGGGUGGAAGUGGCGGCGUUUGCGGCACUGGCUCUGCGGAGGUGGAUACAGAAAUCUCCGGCCGAGAGAACUUUCAUUCGUCCCGGGGCCGAAGGAAAGUUGGAGCCUCCACCACGGCGGCGGCCGCGGCAUUGCGGGGCAGAGGAGGCAGAGGGAGAGGCAGGGGGUCGAGAGGCAGCCGCGGCAGUAGAGGCGGAGUGAGGCGGCCUCAAACCAAGGUGGUCUACGACGACAACAGCGAUGAGGAGGACGAUAAUUUAAGCUAUAGGUCAGACGAAGAUGAACUCCUGAACGACAACCCUUCGGAUCUUGAAGAAGAGGAGGCCUUGGGAAACGACUCUGACUAUCUGGAGGAACUACCAGAUGAUGAUGAUGCCAGCUACUGUACCGAGAGUAGUUUUAGGAGCCACAGCACGCUCGGUAGCACCCCAGGCCGGAGAAAGAGUCGGGCAUUGCGACCGCAGUCUCCCAUCCUUGAGGCAAAGGACAUUCCCUCCCUGGAGCUUCCCAAGUCCUCUGAGGACCUCCAGGUUCCUACCUCACAGCUCCUUAAUGUGUCUGCCGUCUACGAAGUCCUACGUAACUUUGGCUCGGUGCUGCGUCUCUCCCCGUUCCGCUUUGAGGAUUUCUGUGCAGCGCUGGUCAGCCAGGAGCAGUGCACGCUGCUGGCAGAGACCCACAUCUCCCUGCUCAAAGCUAUUCUGAGAGAGGAGGAUACUUCCAACACCACAUUUGGUCCCACUGAUGUGAAGGACUCUGUCAACUCCACUCUGUAUUUUGUGGAUGGUAUGACCUGGCCGGAGGUGGUGCGGGCAUACUGUGAGAGUGACCCGGAGUACCGGCACAUUCUGCCUUUUCAGGAGUGUGAGGAUUACCCGUUUGAACCGUUGGAUAGCAAAAUCAAAGUUCUCCAGUUUUUGGUGGACCAGUUCCUGGCGACCAACAUUGCGCGCGAGGAGCUAAUGUCGGAAGGUGUGGUUGCCUAUGACGACCACUGCAGAGUAUGCCAUCGCCUUGGUGACCUGCUGUGCUGUGAGACAUGUUCAGCCGUUUACCAUCUGGAGUGUGUGAAGCCGCCUUUGCAGGAAGUGCCGGAGGACGAGUGGCAGUGUGAGGUGUGUGUGGCACACAAGGUACCCGGUGUGGCAGACUGCAUCCCAGAAGUGCAGAGGAGCAGACCGUUUAUUCGAGAGCUGCCAGUCGGCUAUGACCGACACAAUCGCAAAUACUGGUUCCUGAACCGCCGCAUUGUUGUUGAGGAGGAUGGCGAGCAGGAGGACAAAGCCAUCUGGUACUACAGCACCAAGGUCCAGCUAGCUGAGCUCAUAGAUUGUUUGGAUAAGCAGUACUGGGAGGCUGACCUGUAUGCAGCACUUGAGGAGAUAAGGGAAGAGGUGCACGGGCAUAUGGACAUCACUGAGGACCUAACUAACAAGGCCCGUGGCAGCAACAAGUGUUUCCUCACUGCUGCCAAUGAGGAGAUCCUGGAGCGGUUGCGGGCAAAGAAGGAGGAGGAGCUGGAGGAGGUGAAGAGACGGGCUGCUGAGGAGGCCCAGAAGGCGCGGCUGGAGAUGGAGAAAAAGGAGAUGGAUGUGGAGAAGAAAGAUGAAGAGGCCAAGGUGAAGGACGAGGGGCAACAGGAGGGCAAAGAUCUGACCGAAGAGGAGGAGACAAAAGAAGAGGCCACGGAAGAGAAAAAAGGUGGUGGAGUUGUUGAAGCUCCACCCACUGGCCAAGAAGGCAGUAGUGGCAGUAGCGUCUCAGAUGGACCUAUACUCCCAGCAACCUGUGCCCCAACACAAACCAUCCCCACCAACGUGACCUAUAGCCUGGCCUCUGAGGCUCCAAAGCCCCCAGCCUCCACACCUGAGGCUCUGGUAGAGGGAUGUUCCCAUAUGGAGGUCUCUAACAUCACCGAAGCAGAAAAGCCAUCAUCAGAUUCUGUCCGUGUCAGCGGAGAUGGCAUCCCCAGCCUGAGCCAGCCCUCCCAGACCAGUGAGGAGAACAGUAACAGCAGCAUGGGAGCUGGGGUCCCUCCCAGAGGUCCCGAACCUCCAGACCUGGCUGACAAGUCCUCCCAGUCAUCCCUGGCCAGCCUUGAUGACACAGUGGACGGCAAAGACUCAGCCAAUGGUGAGACGGGUCCCGGCAGUAAGAAGUCUGCAGCCACUCGCAUGGUGACCCGGCUGAGGAACCCAGAAAGCAAGCUAAGCCAGAUGAAAAAUCAACAGGUGGCCGCUGCUGUUCACGAAGCCAACAAGGGCUUCAAGGAGGGCAAAGAGGUACUAGUAGUAAAUGCACAAGGUGACGUCACCCGUGUCAGCACGCGAGGCAAGGAGGUGGUGAUGAAGGGGACACUCAGCCAAUACUUCAAGCUUGGCCAGGAGGGAAAAUACCGCGUCUAUCAUAACCAGUACAGUUCCAAUACUGUGGCCCUCAACAAGCACCAGCACAGAGAGGACCAUGACAAGAGGCGGCAUCUCUCCCAUAAGUUCUGCAUGACACCAGCAGGAGAGUUUAAGUGGAAUGGGUCCAUUCAUGGCUCAAAGAUUCUGACCAUCUCCACACUGAGAAUCACCAUCAUCCAGCUGGAGAACAACGUUCCAGCACCGUUCAUGCACCCUAACUGGGCCUCACACAGGACCAAUUGGAUCAAAGCAGUUCAGAUGUGCAGUAAGGCCAGAGAGUUUGCGCUGGCUCUGGCCAUCCUGGAGUGUGCCAUCAAGCCUGUGGCUAUGCUGCCUGUCUGGAAGGACUCACUGGGCCAUACCAGGUUAAACCGCAUGACCUCUAUGGAGCGUGAGGAGAAAGAGAAAGUGAAGAAGAGGGAGAAGAAGUUGGAGGAUGAGGAGACAAUGCAACAGGCCACCUGGGUCAAAUACACCUUUCCAAUUAAACACCAGGUGUGGAAGCAGAAAGGAGAGGAGUAUCGCGUUACGGGCUAUGGGGGCUGGAGUUGGAUCAGUAAGACUUAUGUGCAGCGGUUUGUCCCCAGGCUUCCCGGCAACACCAACGCCAACUACCGCAAAGAACUUGAAGAUGCUAAACUUGGAAAGAAAUGUACCCUGUUGGACUUGAGUCGACGUCCCAGUGUAUCUGCACCAGAAGCUCAGGGAGCUGCUGUCUUACACAGUGAGGCAAAAGAUCAGGACUCCUCUGGCCUCUCCAAGCUUGCAACAGAUCAUCCGAUGUCUGUUGAAGAUUUGGAGUCUAAUGAGCGGAUGGAAGAGGAAAAGAAAGAAGGGUUGGGUGAAAAUGAAAAGUCUGAGGAAUUGUCAGCAGAUGAAUCACCUGCAAAGAUGGAGGUGGACCCCGCAUUCUCAAGAUCAGAUGAAGAGCAAAGGUCCAGCAUUCAGGAGGAAAAGGUCUCCAUUAAGGAGGAGCCCACAGAGGGCCCAACACGACCCUUUAACUACGAUGUAGUGGAUGUCAGUAAGGGCUUCCUAACCCGCAUCGCCUACAAGAAGAAGGUCAAGUCCUCCAAGCUGGACAGCCUCCUAGAGCGGCGAGUGAAGCAACACGUUAUUGAAGAGAGGCAGAGGCAGCAGGUGUCUGCCUCCAACCCUCAGACUCCUACACCAGUUUCAUCCACUUCAAACCCCGCGCUGAGCACUCCGGUCCGCCCGCGAUCACCACUUAAGCCCCAUACACUCGCCCAGACACAGCUUGCACUGGGCAAAGCUUCCACAACACAAACUUCAGGGCCAGGAAAAGUUGGAGGACGAGAGGUUGAAAGCGAGAGUCUGGCGGAACUCUCUAAAACGACAGGUGAGCUUGUCACUCCUCCUCUUCCUUCUCCUGUUCCGGACUCAACACCCAAAGACAGUUGCAGUACAGGUACACAAAACCAAACCAGCUCCAUACCCCAGGUAUUGGAGGCAAACUUAGUAGAAAGGACUAUGGGGCCAAAAGAAAUUAAAACGGACAGUUCAGUGCAGGAGGGCGUCACACUGCCUGAUGUACAUGAAACAGCAGGGGGAAUUCAUAGCUCUUUAGAGCGACAAACAGCCAGUGUACCAUCAGAUGUUACUAAGGCUGUGCAUAUUGAAAAUACAGGGUCUGAGGUACCCAACUUAAAAUUGGACUCUCUGAGGACAUCUACAAGUGUUGUUGACCAAAUAAGCAGUCAUAACAUAUCUCCUUCUAAAGGUAUUCAGCAAAACACAGAAACUUUAAGCUCAGCGCAUUCGGGUACGGAGGAAAAUGGCAUGGGGCCAGAGGAGAACCAAGAAAAUAUAGAAGGCAUUGGACUAGGUAAAACCGAAGGCAAUAGCACUCCCGAGCCAGUUUCUCCUCUCCCUCAGGUAAAUGGUAAUGAUGGCUUGGGGAGUGAAAGCAUGUUGAGUAACUCUGUAAUGAGCUCAAAUAAUGUUGUGCUCAGCAACAGUCCACAGCCCAUGGUGAACAACAUCGGUAAAGUUGAAGAACAAGGGCUGGUUGUCUCGUUGAAGGACAGCACACAGCAACAGCCUUUAGUAAACGGAGAUUUGGCUUCUGUAAAUGAUUGUACAGAGGUUGGGGGCGAGGAACCAAGCUUAGCUUCUAAGGUAGAGAGCAAAACGGCGAUAAUAGACCAGCACUACGAGCCGCCGCUGAAGAAGACGAAGCUAGAGAACAACGUAAAUGCACUUGGAGCCAAUACUCAGAGCACUCUACAACACAGCAGCACAUCUGUGGAGACCAAACCCAGUCCUGUGGUCAAGAUCAUCAGAAUGGCACCGUCUCCGAUACCUUCAGCAGAAGAGUCCAGUCUAAGUGACGACUUUGCAGAGGAGAAUAGUAACAGUGGGUCGACAGAACCACUCAAGACCAUCAUCACACAGGUAACCACAACCUCCACAACCACCACAACAGUAGUUUCCACGGAGAUGAGGAUAGCCAAAGUGCCAUCGAAGGCAUCUGUAGUGGUAAUGAAGCCCGACGUGUCGACAAAAGAAAACAGUGCAGUGUCCACCCUUACUACCAUGACCAAAACAACUGUGACCAAAAUCUGUUCCCCCGGCCUCGACGGUCAGUCAGAGGCCAGCCGGAGUGAAAUAGUGACACAAGAACAGAGGACGGCGCUCUCAGCCUCUAUCAGUAAAUCAACAACUGACUCCAGUGGUAAAACCUCAGUGUCGUCUGUUGCUGUGAGCCUGGAGGACUCGUCAUCAACAAAGGGCCGUGUACGUCUUCUCAAGUUCUCCCGCACCAAGAAGACCCGCUCAGACACCGCCCUUCCUUCUUACCGCAAGUUUGUCACCAAGAGCAGCCGCAAGAGUAUUUUUGUACUGCCACAUGACGACUUGAAGGUGCUUGCGCGGCGAGGUGGAUUCCGUGAGGUGUCCAUAUUUAGCUACAAUGCCAAACCAGCACUGGACAUCUGGCCAUAUCCUUCACCCAGGCCCACGUUUGGCAUCACCUGGAGGUAUCGCCUGCAGACGGUGAAGUCUUUGGCUGGUGUGAGCCUGAUGUUGAGGCUCCUGUGGGCCUCUCUGAGAUGGGACGACAUGGCUGUCAAACCAUCCGCUGCUGUAGGCACCACACGUACAGAGACCUCAGAUACUGAAAUCACCACCACCGAGAUCAUCAAGCGCCGUGACGUGGGACCCUAUGGCAUUCGCUCAGAGUACUGCAUCCGCAAAAUCAUCUGCCCCCUUGGAGUGCCUGAGACUCCGAAAGAAACCCACACCCCUCAGAGGAAGGGGCUGCGCUCCAGCGCCUUGCGCCCCAAAAAGCCUGAGCCUGCCAAGCAGACAGGCCCAGUGGUGAUCGAGACCUGGGUGGCUGAGGAGGAGCUGGACCUCUGGGAGAUCAGAGCCUUCUCAGAAAGGGUGGAGAAAGAGAAAGCUCAGGCAGCAGAGCAGGCCAAGAAACGUCUGGAGCAGAAACCGGGCUCAGUCACAGCUACCCCAACAGGGACUCCCUCAACACCUGUUGCCACGCCCAAAGUCAUUGUCAGCUCAUUGUCAGGACAGGGCACCCCCAGCACCAAGGUGGUACUGUCCAGCAAGAUGGGCACCCCCGUCACAUUCCAGCAGAACAAAAACUUCCAGCAGUCGUUCGCCACCUGGGUCAAGCAGGGUCAAAGCACGCAAGGAGCGGGCACGGAGACCACCGUGGCCACGUCUGGUGGGCACACCUUCCAGAUUACGGGAACCUCAGUAGGUGGAAAGGUAGUGACCACCAAGCUGCCGCUGCCCGCCAACAGCAAGAUUGUCACAGUCAACGUGCCAACUUCACAAGGAGGUGUGGUUCAGCAGAAAGUGUUGGGGAUCAUCCCCUCCAGCACAGCAGGCGGUGCCCAGACCUACACCACAUUCCAGCCCCGCACCACCACGCUCAACAUCAGGCACAAUGCCCCGGGCUCCCAGCAACAGGUUCUGGCAGCUGGUGGUCAGAUCCGUCCAGGAAUGACAGUGAUCCGAACACCGAUCCAGCAGACAGGACCAAUGGGAAAGACGAUACUCCGCACACCCCUCAUGGUCCAGCAAGGUCAGGGUGGACAGCAAGUAGUGACGCAGAUCAUUCGUGGCCAGGCAGUUUCCACGGCAAUAUCUGGUGCCAGUCCUGUCGCCACGGUCACUGGCCAAGGGGCGGCCAGCCCUACCACAGCAGGCCAAACACCGCCAGGCACCCCACGGGCGCAGGGGCAAGGCCAGGUUAAACUCACCCUGGCACAGCUCACCCAGCUAACACAGAAGCAGCAGGCUGGGUCAGGUGUGGAUCGGCAGGCUGGCGUCGGUGGUACCCAGCAGGCUCUGACGGUGAUGGUUCAGGGCCAGGGCCAGACCACCGGUCAGCUGCAGGUCAUACCCCACGGGGUCACUGUCAUCCCAGGUCCCGGUCAGCAGCUCAUGCAGGCAGCGCUGCCCAAUGGCCAGGUGCAGCGCUUCCUCUUCACCCCCCUGGCCUCCGCUGCCACACCCACAUCAAGCACAACCACCACAGUUCCCACCUCCACUAAAACCCCAGCGCAGCCCGCCCAGAAGGCUGCGGCCCCCGUCCAGGCAGGGGCGACCCCCUUGGCCACCACCAGCACCCCUUCGUUGGCCACCCCACAGGGCCAGCUACCCCCUCAGACGCAGGCCCACAUGCCCAUCCAGUCCCCCACCUCGCUGCAGGUGAAGACGCAGGGAGGAACCGUGCAGCUGCAGCAGACACCCCAGCUCAUCAGCAUGUCUGGACUGCAGCAGCAGGUACAGGUGUUGGCACAGCUGCAGGCCCAGCAGGGUGGAGGCUCUCUGCCACAGCACAUCAAACUGCAGCUUCCUAUCCAGAUACAACAAACCGGGACCACCUCAGCUCAGGGAGGACAGAUUGGGAACGUAGUGACCAUCCAGGCAGCUUCUGUCCAGGAGCAGCUGCAGAGAAUCCAGCAGCUCAGAGAACAGCAGCAGCAGAAGAAGAGGCAAGCAGCAGAGGCCAAGAGAGAGCAAGCCCUCAACUCAGCCAGCCAGAGCGACAUCAUUCAGAAACAGGUGGUGAUGAAACAAAACGCGGUGAUCGAGCACCUGAAGCAGAAGAAGACCAUGACACCUGCAGAGAGAGAAGAAAAUCAGAGGAUGAUCGUAUGCAACCAGGUGAUGAAGUUCAUCCUUGACCGGAUAGACAAAGAUGAGAGGCAGGCGGCCAAGAGGAGGAAGAAAGAGGAGGUGGUGGAGGCAAAGAGGAGGUUGGCCAAUGCCAGCAAGCUCUCCUCGCUCCUUUAUAGACACAAAGAGAGCCUCAAGAUGGAGAUCCUGAAGAAGCGGGCGCUUCUCGACAAGGAGCUGCAGCUAGAGGCCCAGGAGGAGCUAAAGAGGGACCUGUUGCGGAUGCGGAGGGAGAAGGAGAGGGCUCAGGCUGCAGCCCAGCAGGCGGCCCAGGCCGCCGCCACCGCCGCCGCCACCGCCGCCCACAACCAACAGCAGCAUACUCUGGCACACACGCAUGGCAUCACCUCUCAACACCACCUCACCACGGGCGUCGCCUCCACACACAAGAGGAAACGGGAGGAGGAGAGGGAUACUACGACGUCAGCCAAGUCCAAGAAGAAGAAGAUGAUAUCGACAACGAGCACCAAGGAGAGCAAAAAGGACACCAAGCUCUACUGCGUCUGCAAGACACCCUACGACGAGACCAAGUUCUACAUUGGCUGCGACCUGUGUACCAACUGGUAUCACGGAGACUGUGUGGGCAUCACAGAGAAGGAGGCCAAGAAGAUGGACGACUACAUCUGUGUGGAGUGUAAACGGGGCCAGGAGGGCAGCACAGAGGAGCUGUUCUGCAUCUGUCAGACGCCAUACGACGAGUCCCAGUUCUACAUCGGCUGUGACCGGUGUCAGAACUGGUACCACGGUCGCUGUGUGGGCAUCCUGCAGAGCGAGGCCAACCACAUCGACGAAUACGUGUGCCCGCAAUGUCAGUCGACAGAGGACGCCAUGACGGUCUUCACGCCGCUUACGGACAAAGACUACGAGGGCCUGCGGAGAAUCCUGCGUUCCUUACAGGCACAUAAAAUGGCAUGGCCGUUCCUGGAACCAGUGGACCCAAGCGACGCCCCGGACUACUACAGGGUUAUCAAGGAACCAAUGGACCUUUCCACUAUGGAGGAGAGGAUACAGAAGCGCGAAUACAUCAAGUUGACAGAGUUUGUGGCGGACAUGACCAAAAUCUUCGACAACUGCCGCUACUACAACCCCAGUGACUCGCCCUUCUACCAGUGUGCUGAGGUUCUGGAGACCUUCUUUGUCCAGAAACUCAAAGGGUUCAAAGCCAGCAGAUUGUGAUGUCAAACUCCUGAGUGCCGGGGUCACUCUUUUUACUUGUUUAAAACAGCGUUAAAAACUUUGUCUCAUAACAACAAACUACAAUCAGCUGCAUCUUAGCUCCCUCCUAAAAUCCAAGUGUCAAAAAGACAAGCCUUGUGGUUCCCUCUGAAUGAUUAAGCCCCGUGGUCCAAGUCAGGCUGCAUCUGAACCGGAGCCCUCUCUGCAGGAGAGCACGCUCCCAGCUGAAAAUCAGCUCGCACUGGUGACAAAAGCGCCCAACCUCCGACACCUCCAUUGCAGUGCUAAGUGGAGAGAUGAGCCCCUUUUUUCUUUUAAAGUGUCACUGGGACGUAAUGGCAAAGAAGUCCCACCUUCAGACCAGGGCCGGGAUGGCUACGCACUCUGUCUGGCAGCCUGCUUCAUCCCAACCGGCCAUUCCUGCCAGCGCAUCCCACCCAUGAGAAGAAAGAUCUAGAUGGGGAAAUGCAGAAAAAGUUGAUAAGUUGGCUGGUUGGAUGUUCAGUGACAGUCUGUCACGUCAGCAGCGGACUCUUAAAACAGUUGUGUUCGUAUUGUAGCUGAUCACUGUUUUUGUGUAUCCUUUAUAGCAAAGUGUCAGCUUUGAUCUUUCCACCCAGGGGUGCAUUUUAAUGUUUGUUGAAACAUCCCAAUAAAUCUUAGUCCCCUGCCUUACAUGGAAAUGUCCACAAUGUCAAAAUGAAAAUUCUUCACAUGUGGCAAAAGGCAGGCAUCACAACCAUGUACAGUACCUUGGAGUUCAUUCUUCUCAUAUUUAACGACUGUAUGCCCCAAACCAGCAUUUUAUUGGUCCCCCACCAGUAAAAAAAGAACCCCGUUGAAGCCGAUCAGUUUCAGAUCCACUCUGUGCAGCCAAUCUCACCUUCCAUGUUUCACACCCAACUCCACUGCACCCUGUUAUUUGACUAAACCCUCUGUUGCAUAUCCCUGCACGAAGCUUGAAGCAGCCUCGUAAAAACCCGGUGGCACAUUCACAUUCAGUGGUGCAUUUCACUGUACAUUCCCUGUCACUGUAGCCUGAUGCUGAGAUGCUCCAUUUGCAAUCGAAGCUAGAUUUCUGAAAACUAGUCAGAAGGUGAGUUUUUUUUUUUUUUCUGUUGGAUUUAAAUCACCACAUAUGGGCCUGGACAGCACUCCCUCUCAAGUUAUUCAAGGGGUCUUUAUUUGGUCUGAGGGCUGUCGUGUUAAUUUCCAGCAGGAAAUACCCAGAACCGGCCAUCCCACCACACCCUGCUCCUCUUUUGACCUUUUUACCAUGUUGUGUUCUUCUGAAAUGCAAGUUCAUAAUGUGAACUAUCUCCGUUCUCCUUUAAACUUGACCAUUUGGAAGGAGGUCAAGUAGUGAGGAAGCGCGACUGUCAGGCCUUCAGGGAAGGUGAAACUUGUACAAGGCUUAACUAACCCACAUGUACUGUACCUCCCCUCCAUACACACACACACACACACACACGUCUCGUCAAAAGCUCUGUUUCUGUCAGUGGCUGAGUCUGUAAGUCUCUUCCCCCUUAUCUAUCAGCCACUUCUUCCAACAUAUUUCAUUGAGGUUGACAGGUUGGCUCACAUAUGUCUCUCAACUCGCCCUCAAAGCAUGGUUAAGUAAUUGGAUAAUGGACUUUUCCACUCAGCAUCAACUCAGUUAUGUUGCGGUCUGCUGCAGUAUGUCUGGGAAUAAACUUUGAGUGGGGACUCGGGAGUCUUUGUACCGUGGGGUUUGUAUGAAAAUUUUAUAGCUACAUUUUUAUCAUAUUUGGGAACAUUUUUGUAAUCUGUAAUUAUCAGUUUUGUAGGAAGGGAGCAGUCAUAAUACACGGUUGUCUUUAAGUUGUUAAAAAAAAUAAAUUAAAAAAACUAGGCAGAUGUUUUGGUUUCAAUCAGUUUUUUUUGUGUGUAUUUGCAGAGUUGAGAGAUAAUGUAGCUGCCUAUCUUCUUUACUGUGUUUGUGUGUCUUUCACACAAAUGUCCGUCACUUUGUAAUUUGACGAUGAUGAUGUGUUUCAUCCACUGUUUGAAACCUCUAUUGUAUAUUAUGGCUGUCCAAAUAUGUAGAGAUAAAAGAUUUUUAGAGCAGUAGAAACUUUUAUUUUUCACUCUUUGAACCAGCAACUAAGCCCGCCUGUAUAUUUUAACUGUCUAUUUUUUUCUCUUUAAUUGAAGUGAACUCUACAUUUUAGAAGAAAUGGCUCUUUAUAUUAAAAGUGCUGCAUAUUGUGAGCAUAAUGGUUUUGAAUGGGUGAGAGUGACAUAGUUUUUUUUUCUAAGAAACCAACCAGUUCAACAUAACUUCUACAGUAUAUUGACAUUGCAUUUCUUGUAUUAUUUAUUCAUAUCGAUGAAAAAGUUCUCAGUUUUUUUAGUAAUGUUGAGGAAACGUAACUGCAGAUUUAAAAAAGAAAAAAAAAAGAACUAUGUUUUUAACUGAUUGUGGCAACUCUGAAAAGAUUCUCUUUUGUACUUGAUAGGACAUUUCAUCCUAGAUAAUAAAGUAAUGCUUUUGACACCAGC